CCCUUCUUUUCCGGGUAGGCUAUGCUAGGUUAUUAACUUAUCCUGGAAAUGAUAAUAUAUUAAACAAAUCCCAGCACCACACCAAAAGGAGGCAGCAAAUCAGAGCUAAACAUAUCUAUCUGCGUUUCAUUUCCACAUGGUAAGAGAGCAACACAAAACAGGUUUAUAAUAUUUGGAUGUUUUAUUUUCUAGCAGGUUACAUUUCAUUAGUUUUUACAGAAUCUGAUAUUUGGAGCCAUUUGCAAAUAUGCUCAUAAAUUACAUGAUUUGUAAUCCUUAUCGAAAGAAAUCAUAAAAGAAUGAGGUGGUUAAUGAUCAAUAUUGGGAUCAACAGUGAUCACCCUACUAAUGUAGGCAUUACGUAUGCAGGCAGAAAAAGAAAAGUUCCCAUUAAGGUCUCAUGUGAAACACCACAGGUCUGAAAUACUCAGGGAGUAUUCCUGAGAGCCUGGAGCUCACGGGACAACAUUCACACACAUUCUGCUUCAUGAAGAGGUCAGAUUAUCGUCAGACCAUAGACAUUACGUCAAAGGACACUGAACAUUUGGCGAACAAAUGCGGCAAACAAAGGUUCAAAUAUCCUCCAAAGCACUUCAAGCCCUCAAAGAAUGAAACUCAAAACGCAGAUGAGGUAAAAGAAGAAACUUCUAAAUUAUAGUGGAGCGACCCAGGGACAAGUCUGGUUUGGGUUAAAGAUUAUGGAUGGUUAACUUUGUGUAACAUGUUUGGACAAGCAAGUUUAGGUUUUAGGCAAGCGACUUCAGGUAUUAGGCAUGCGACUUCAGGCAAGCGACUUCAGGUAUUAGGCAAGCGAGGCGAGUUUAGGCAAGCGAGUUUAGGCAAGCGAGUUCAGGCAAGCGAGUUCAGGCAAGCGAGUUCAGGCAAGAGAGUUCAGGCAAGAGAGUUCAGGCAAGAGAGUUCAGGCAAGAGAGUUCAGGCAAGAGAGUUCAGGCAAGAGAGUUCAGGCAAGAGAGUUCAGGCAAGAGAGUUCAGGCAAGAGAGUUCAGGCAAGAGAGUUCAGGUAUUAGGCAAGCGAGUUUAGGCAAGCGAGUUUAGGCAAGCGAGUUUAGGCAAGCGAGUUUAGGCAAGCGAGUUCAGGUAUUAGGCAAGUGACGCGAGUUUAGCCAAGCAAGUUCAGAUUUUAUGCAAGCGAGUUUAGACAAGCGAGUUUAGGCAAGCAAGUUUAGGUAAGAGAGUCAAGUUACUUUAGGCCUCACUUUAUUUGCGGUUAAAUUGCGGCAUUAGGUUUAGAAAGAAGGUUAAGAGCCAGGCUCAGGUUUGCUUCCAGCCUCGUCCCUCUAGUCGCUCCCUAUAAAGAGGAUUCCCAGCUACCGUGUUAAAAUACAACAGCUGGGAUUACAGAUAUGGAGUACGGAAAUAAAUGACAAAGAUUGAUUCAAACAUUCUUCCCCCAAAAUGUGGUGCAACAUAAUGGAGAAAAUAAUGACUUUCUCUCCAUUGAAACCCAGUCAUAUCUUACGAUCUCACGAGGUCCCGCCGCAAGGGGCGGACUUACAAACUCUAUAGAGUGUGCACUGCGUGUUAAUGUUGGGUGUGGAUUAAUGUGCUGGUGUAGCCAGGGAUCCUCAGGGUUUAUGGGGGCGUAGGACACACUGGUGUAGUUCAGUGCUGUGAAGUAAAUUGAUGCAAAAAGUAGAAUCAGUUUCUAGGGCAAUCAAAUGUCUAUAAAUACAGGAACAGCCCCAUCUGGUCUCAAUCAGCAUUUGAUUCCAUAGACUUAAAUUAGCGAAAAAACAAGCAUUUAUUUACCGCAACAGUCCUAGUGAACCAGGUUUCAAAAAAAGACAAUACGAGCCUCCAGGUGCAUUGGAGUUACUGCAUUUAAUUAACUUCAAAUUAAUUAAGAGCACACUAGUCAGUGGAGAUGUUCACAGAAAAGACUGGUCUUCAGACCUUGAUAAAGAUCAGGAGGGAUUAUAGAAUUGCCGUUGGACGCGUUAGGUCUGUUCAAGGAGGAAGUAAAUAUUUACCAGCGUUGGGUCUCUGCACCGCGACACCCAGCUGCCGCACAUCUGGUCUCCCUUCAAGUCGCCUGAAGGAGAGGUCAACUUUAUUGAACCUAAGGGGAAUGGUCACAUGAAAAGGUAAGGAUAAAUCAAAGCUAAACAUAGAAAGGAUGAAACAAGCAUUGUCCAACAUGGGGUUCGGCGAUAUUUUGAUGUAAAAACAUUUAGGUGUACGAUCCAACCAUCAAAAACAGGCUCUUAUCAUGUUUCCAAUGUGCCCAGAGUAGCUACGCCCUCAUCGGCCACCAGGUGGCAGACUUGAUUUUGUCAGUAGAAGGAGCAAAAUAGCCAUCCAGCUUGAUUACAGCAAUAGUAGAGGAGCGAGUCAAAAGAAUGCGUUUGAGCACCUUCAGCCAUUGGCUCUUGUUCAUGGACAUCCCACUGAUUGGCUGAAAUAAGAUCUUAUUCUCUAGAAAGUUUGUUACAGAGGAAGCCCCUAGUAUCAAAGCAACAUACCCGCCAAACAAAACUAACCGUUGAAUAAAUGAAAAUGUCUUCAAGAUAGUCAAUCCAGCAUCUUACCGGUUCCACAGAGUCUCUAGUCUGCUGCGCUGCGGGCCUUUGGUCCGUCCUCUGCUCCGGAGUAUAAGGAACCAGUCAGUCAUCAAGCUGCUUGGUCUCUUCAAAGAUGUGGUGGUUUGACCGCCUGCACCUUGAGGACGCUGUGGAUACGGUAUGGGACCCUUUAUCAGCAGAUCUGAACUGCAGAACUUUAAUCACAUCAGCUGUAGAUUUAUAUACCUUCUCCGGAAAGAUGAGGGGGGGGGGGGGGGGGGGGGGUGGUCGUCAGCCCCUGAGCAGUGAUCUUCAUCCCCAGUGAUCUUCAUCCCCAGUGACUCCUUCAAUCCUGCUGGAGCAAACACUCAGUUACCAUUUGGAGAUAACCCAGCUACCCUAGUGUACUCACUACCCUAGUGUACUCACUACGAAGUGAUACAACCCGGUUCAGUGUUUCCCCCAGACUAUGUCUGAGUCAAGGUGGUGGGGGGGGGGGUCUUUGGUGAGGGUUUCAGUUCGCAAUAAUACAUACAACCGCCUUUUCAAUUCCAUUCAAAAUGCUUUAUGGCACGACUAUUGUUUUUAACAGUAUAACCG
ensembl:lncRNA